rnacentral:rRNA from 1 species
GCUAGUAGGCGAGUACUGGUCCGAUGUGUCCUCGGUGCUAUGCUUACCUUUGCUCUAACUGUUCUCAAAGUACCAAAGAAGCUACUCAGGGAGAUCGACAGAUGCCGGUGUAGAUUUCUUUGGAAGCAAGACGAGGCGAUCACAGGCGGUAGCUGCAAGGUUAACUGGUCCACGGUGUGCACUCCUACAUCACAUGGAGGACUGGGGAUCCUCGAUCUCAAGCGUUUCAGCCGCGCCCUUAGAUUGCGAUGGCUCUGGAUAGCCUGGACGGACCCUGAGAGGCCUUGGGUCGGCAUGGAGCUGCCAUGCAGCAGCAUUGACAAAACCCUUUUCACAGCGGCGACCACAGUCACCAUCGGCGAUGGCGUGAAGGCACUCUUCUGGCACUCCCUUGGUGCGGGCCGUGCACCCUGGCCAGUUCCUUCCCUCUCCUCUACUCGCACUCCAAGCAAAAAAACAGGACGGUGCACGAGGCUGUCACACACAAGACUUGGAUAA